GAUGAACGCUGGCGGCGUGCUUAACACAUGCAAGUCGAACGGAAAGGCCCAAGCUUGCUUGGGUACUCGAGUGGCGAACGGGUGAGUAACACGUGGGUGAUCUGCCCUGCACUUCGGGAUAAGCCUGGGAAACUGGGUCUAAUACCGGAUAGGACCACAUUUUGGAUGGUGUGGUGGAAAGUUUUUCGGUGUGGGAUGAGCUCGCGGCCUAUCAGCUUGUUGGUGGGGUAAUGGCCUACCAAGGCGUCGACGGGUAGCCGGCCUGAGAGGGUGUACGGCCACAUUGGGACUGAGAUACGGCCCAGACUCCUGCGGGAGGCAGCAGUGGGGAAUAUUGCACAAUGGGCGCAAGCCUGAUGCAGCGACGCCGCGUGGGGGAUGACGGCCUUCGGGUUGUAAACUCCUUUCGCUAGGGACGAAGCGUUAUGUGACGGUACCUGGAGAAGAAGCACCGGCUAACUACGUG
rnacentral:rRNA from 1 species